GCUUUAGGCAUACCAACAAUGAGAAUUUCAAUACUUCUAUAAUCAAUUUAAAAAAUAGCUAAGAAACUUGCCUUAUCAAAUGUCAAGGGGGUCAGGGUCAAUAUGCCCAGAAACAUGGAUCAUCCACUCAGGUCUGUUGCAACUCAUAGGCAAAAUAUUUAAGUGGCAGUGGAGAGAGAAACCUGCACCUUUAAAGCUAUUUUCCUGAAAUUCUACACAUUUCCCCCUAUGGUUGAGAGAAAAAUGCAGUUUUAAAGCAAUUUUCCUGCAAUUCUACACAUUUUAAAUUGGGACGGUGAAAUCAUUUAGCAAUUUUAAAGCAAUUUUCCUGCAAUUCUACACAUUCUACUACAGAUAUCUGAGUUAGAGUGACAAACAAAAUCAAUGGGGGCUGCCUGGAGGUCAGGGCCCCUAGGCACAUGCCUUGAGUGCCUGGUCAGUAAUUCGGCCAUAAUUACUACAAGGUUUAGAUAGCUGGUUCGACUAACUCACCUAGUAAACUAUAAAAUGUUAGUUGACAUGGGCUCAUUGCAAUCCAGACUGUAUUACAACCGGCCGUGAUUGGGAGUCCCAUAGGGCGGCGCACAUUUGGCCCAGCGUCGUCCUGGUUUGGCCGGUGUAGGCCGUCGUUGCAAAUAAGAAUUUGUACUUAACUGACUUGCCUAGUUAAAUAAAGGUUCAAUUAAAAAAAAUAUAUAAUAAUAGACUCUGUCAGGGACUGACUUUAAAAUAGGACAACUGCUGAUGCACUUCCAGUGGACGCUAUGGGAUAUCAGCCACUAUUCUACCAUAACCAUUUAAUUUGUACAGCAUUAGCCUCUCCAACAAGCCUGAAACAGUGUAAACAAGGACAAGGGCUAACUGAUGCCUUGGACCGUGCAAUGGAGGAUAUUACAGCACUAGAGAUCUCUACACCUUCUUCUCUUGAUAAGUCCAGCAAGGACUCACUCAGUCACUCACAAACAAAACUCCAAUUUGAGGAACCACUUGUCAGGCGAGAGAAGUCAAGGCAUAAAAGGGAUGGCUUUGCACUGUCAAGCAAAUCCGAAGCUCCAUUCCCUAAAGAUCUACUUGAAGUUUUAGGGACUUCAGAUAUCCAGACUCUGGAGGAUCUAGUGGCUAAACUGGAGUUUGAGAAUGAGCUGCACCGUGUGUGUGGGAAUCAGGACGUAGACAAGGAGUUUCUAUCACCAGAGGAACACAGUUCAGACAGCCUAGUAGAGGACAGAAGCAGCAGCAAUGGAGAUGUGUCCAGUUCAGAGGAGGACCACUGCAUGUUAGAGAUUGUGUUGCAGAUGGAAAGGGAGUAUGAUCUUUCUGUUUAUUACAAUGACUUCUGUACUCAAUGACAAGGCCCUCAUUCAGCCAGUUAUCUGUACACAGAGCAUCGUGACAGGUUUCUGUUGAUAACUCCUCAGGAACGAUUUUCAAGACAAACCUGUCUGAAAUUAGGAUUAAAUCUGGGCUCACUUUACAGUACAUAGAACAAUCAGAGAAGUGAAUUAUUCAGCAGCAAACUUGCAGUUUUUUAUGUAUCCCUCUACUUUAUUUUGUAAAGAGACAUCUAGGCUGUCAUAUUUCAUUGGUUCAAGUUACUGUAGUUUGUUUUUUUAUACACCAUAAAUUCAGUUUAUAGUAUUUAUAACCAAUAUUAAAACUAUUUGAUUGUAACAAUCUAUAAAACAUUGCUCUGUUGUAAAAACUUUGAUUGUAUGUUAAUAUCAACCAUCAACCUGUUAUCACUCCUCAAGUGACUGUUAUUACUCCUCAAAUGUAGAAUUACAUAAAGUUAAAGGAAAUGAAAACCAAUAAAAACAUGUUUUUAUUACAUUUAUUUCUCCACUGACUGGUCUUUGCUAUACAUGAGUAAUACACUACUGUUAGAUUCAGGACUUUACAGCUUUAUCAGAAACUCCCCUCACAACAAAGGUUUUAAGGAAUGUCUUCAUUCAGUAAAGAGUCUAAAAAAACUAGAGUAUCUUGCACAGGAGAGCAAAGCCAAUUGAAACAAAUGCAGCAGGCGUAUUCCUACAGAGGCAGAUGCUAG